UACGAAGGGGGCUAGCGUUGCUCGGAAUCACUGGGCGUAAAGGGCGCGUAGGCGGCUCUUUAAGUCGGGGGUGAAAGCCCAGGGCUCAACCCUGGAAUUGCCUUCGAUACUGCGGGUCUCGAGUCCGGGAGAGGUGAGUGGAAUUCCUAGUGUAGAGGUGAAAUUCGUAGAUAUUAGGAAGAACACCAGUGGCGAAGGCGGCUCACUGGUCCGGUACUGACGCUGAGGUGCGAAAGCGUGGGGAGCAAACAGG
rnacentral:rRNA from 1 species